AUCCUAUGGGCUCUGCGUGAUUUUCUCCCAGCUAUUUUUGAGAUUUCGUGAGAUGAGGAAGUUAAGAUGACACAGAGUCCUGAAAAUUCUUACGAAAAUUCUGAGGAAUAAAUCCCAGUGCAAAAUCUAUAAAUCAUAGCUAAUGGAUGUGUUUAAGGAGACUAGCUCAUCCAAUAUGGGCCUCCCCUCCCACUCUUCCUGCGAACAGAUCUCCUCCUCCUGUAGCCUAACAGCUCCUCUCCACAUCUUUGCUCCUCCCUUCCUCAGUGGAAUGUUCACGGGAGGUGCAGCGACACAGCAGAAAAUCCCACUCUUCCUGGAGCCUAAAGGUACCUUGGAACGACCCUCCUUGGUGCCUGUGCUGUGCAAGUAUUCAUGGAAUUCCACGACUGCCUUCUGAGAAUGCACGCUCUUUGCAUACACAGCAUCUGCAUUUUCAAUCAGUGCCUUGAGGGACUGAAUCAUCAUGUCAUAAGCUGUCACGAUUUUCUCCAGGACCUCUGGCACAGUUCCCUGCAGCUCCACUGUGGGACAUGGCUCGCUGAGAUUUAGGACCACCAGGGGUGUGUUAUUGGGCCCCAGGAAGUGGGGAGACACUACCACUAUGCACCGCAUGAGAUUGGCCACUGAGGAGAGGCCACACCGCUCCUUGAAUCUCUAUUUUUCUUUUAUUUAAAGUACCCAAGCACUUCCUAUCGCUUCUCCUUUUUCCACAUUAUUUAUCUUCCAAAGAACUUGCUGUUUGUAUAAAGGUGCUGGUUUGGACCAGCAGUCAUCUUUGUGAGUGUAUUAUUGGCAUUAAUAUUUUUUAAAUGAGGGCUCAGCACAUUAUUAGAGAAUUUCGGCUCCAAACUUUGCUGAUGUCUGACGGUGUAUUGAAAUGAACAGUUAAUGCUUACAAUUUUUUAUGUUCUGAUCGAUUGUGCAUGCUUGUGUCUGGUGGUCUGAGCAACAGAUUUGAAGGUAAUAAUAUGCAAUGGAAUUGCAAUGGUGAACUCCUACCAUCUUGUCUACUGAAACUCUAUAUUAUCUCUACUGCUUUAUCGAAGAAUUAUUUUCUUAUUCCCUGUAAUGGUUUGAGCAAUCUUUCAUUCUUACAUCUGGUAAUCUGAGCAAUGUGGUUAAUGAUAGCAAUAUGCAAUGUAACAACCACUGUUGAUUCGUAUUAUUUUGUCUUGAGACUCUGUAUCAUUUUGAAUGUUCUUGCUUUGAUUUGUUUAUACUUGUGAUACUGGUAUGCUGCUACUGUUCUAUUUGUUUAUUUGUUUCUCAUUUACUACUCUCUUUAAAACAAAAAAAAAUAAAAAAACAAACUUUGGACUUUAAAAAUAUUUAUUGUUUGCUUAUUGCCAUAUUCUGUAGGUCAGAAUUAAAAAUUGCCAUAGUUAUAACAGAAAUAGAAAUCUUCCAAGUUAACAGCAUACAAGUAAAU
rnacentral:lncRNA from 1 species